rnacentral:lncRNA from 1 species
GAACAGAAAUUCCUCUCUCUCGUCUGUUUCUACAAGGAUUAACCUCUAGAGCCAGCAGUUUGAGCUCAGUAUUGCUUCAUUUUGCUUGCUGUUAAAGAUACAAAUAGAAUUAACUUGUUUAGAUUUUAGAAAAGAAAAGAAAAGAAACUACUCUUUGUUCUCAUAUUAACAUCACCUAUAAAACUGUCAUUUCUCCGGGCUGUUUUUUGGCGUAUGACUUUGCCAUAACUAUCCCUUCAGGCACCUCCAUGGGUGUCAUGUGAACUCUGGCAGAUUUCCGUAUUUGUUAGAACUUCUGGAAGACAUCAUCAAGUAGAAACCUUUCACCUCACUUUCCAACAACUGUCUAGGACCACUUCGCUUCACGUUGACUCCUCAACAUAGCACAUGAGGAUCACCUCCCAGGACGCCACCUCAGCAUGGCCUGACGAGCGGUGCCAUGUGCUCACCCAGGACCCAAACCAGCGAAACCCUGGGCCACCAAAGCGGAGUGCAGGAACUUAAGCACUCAGCCACGGGGCCAGCCCCAGUUGGUCUACUGGAGAUCGCUUACUUAACAAACGGAUAGCACAGCCUCAGAGUCAUCAGAUACAACAUCAAAUUCCAACAUAUUAAAAAAGGAAAGAAUACAUGUGACGGAAAUUACCUUUGCUUACAAAAACUUGUUACAUACAAUCUGCAUAUUUUUAUUGGACCAAGAACUGUACUCUCCAUUUACAAAACCCAGAGAGAAACCUGCUAAAGCAAAGCAAAUUGAGUCUGCAGUUUUCACCAAGAGGUUGAAGGACUCUUCCACGCCAAGAGCAGUGCUCCUGACGAUGAAGACGUGGAGAGGGUGCGGAGGGUGGCUGAGCACUGGUGAUUGUCCCACCUGAGCAUGAUGGUUCCCGAUUUGGGAACUAGCCGUUCCACCCCCUCUUUCACUAUGUGCCCGAAUAUAUUCAAAAUGUCGUAUACACAUACAAUGAAAUGCUUUUCAGCAUUAAAAAAAGGAAGACAUCCUGCAAUAUGCGACAACGUUGAUGAAGGGGGACGUGAUGCUCAGUGAAAUAAUCCAGUCACAGAAGCACAAAGGCUGCGUGAUUCCACGUGUAUGAUGUCACAGUGUGGAUCAGCAGGACAGAAGGCUGGGAGG